UACGGAGGGGGCUAGCGUUGUUCGGAAUUACUGGGCGUAAAGCGCGCGUAGGCGGACCUGCAAGUCGGGGGUGAAAGCCCGAGGCUCAACCUCGGAACUGCCUUCGAUACUGCGGGUCUCGAGUUCGGGAGAGGUGAGUGGAAUUCCUAGUGUAGAGGUGAAAUUCGUAGAUAUUAGGAAGAACACCAGUGGCGAAGGCGGCUCACUGGCCCGGUACUGACGCUGAGGCGCGAAAUCGUGGGUAGCAAACAGG
rnacentral:rRNA from 1 species